CCUACGGGUGGCAGCAGUGAGGAAUAUUGGUCAAUGGUCGGGAGACUGAACCAGCCAAGCCGCGUGAGGGAUGAAGGUACAGAGUAUCGUAAACCUCUUUUGUCAGGGAACAAAGGCGGGGACGUGUCCCCGGAUGAGUGUACCUGAAGAAAAAGCAUCGGCUAAACCCGUGCCAGCAGCCGCGGUAAUACGGAGGAUGCGAGCGUUAUCCGGAUUUAUUGGGUUAAAAGGGUGCGCGGGCGGUCUGUUAAGUCAGCGGUGAAAGCACGGGGCUAAACCCCGGCCCGCAGUUGAAACUGGCAGUCUCGAGUUGGAGAGAGGGAUGCGGAAUACGAGGUGUAGCGGUGAAAUGCAUAGAUAUCGCGCAGAACUCCGAUUGCGAAGGCAGCAUGCCGGCUCCACACUGACGCUGAGGCACGAAAGCGUGGGUAUCGAACAGGAUUAGAUACCCCAGUAGUC
rnacentral:rRNA from 1 species